ACUGGUGUGGCAGAAUAUGUAUUAAAUUUAAGUUUUAAGGAUAGAGCUAGUUUUCAUACUAAAGUU
rnacentral:tRNA from 1 species